rnacentral:siRNA from 1 species
GGCAGAGUGGCCUUGCUGCCA